rnacentral:rRNA from 1 species
AUACGUAGGGGGCGAGCGUUGUCCGGAAUGAUUGGGCGUAAAGGGUGCGCAGGCGGCCGUGCAAGUCAGCGGUGAAAGCCCGGGGCUCAACCCGAUCAUGCGCUGGAAACUGGGCGGCUGGAGUCCCGGAGGGGAUGCCGGAAUUCCAGGUGUAGGGGUGAAAUCUGUAGAUAUCUGGAAGAACACCGAUGGCGAAGGCAGUCCGCUGGGGCACGUCUGACGCUGAUGCUCGAAGGUGCGGGAAUCAAACAGGAUUAGAUACCCUGGUAGUCCGCACGGUAAACGAUGAUUACCCGCUGUCGGCGGUAGACAGUCGGCGGCCAAGCGAAAGCGAUAAGUAAUCCACCUGGGGAGUACGCCGGCAACGGUGAAACUCAAAGGAAUUGACGGGG